AUUGAACGCUGGCGGCAGGCCUAACACAUGCAAGUCGAACGGUAGCACAGAGAGCUUGCUCUCGGGUGACGAGUGGCGGACGGGUGAGUAAUGUCUGGGAAACUGCCCGAUGGAGGGGGAUAACUACUGGAAACGGUAGCUAAUACCGCAUAACGUCUUCGGACCAAAGUGGGGGACCUUCGGGCCUCACACCAUCGGAUGUGCCCAGACGGGCUUAGCUAGUAGGUGGGGUAAUGGCUCACCUAGGCGACGAUCCCUAGCUGGUAUGAGAGGAUGACCAGCCACACUGGAACUGAGACACGGUCCAGACUCCUACGGGAGGCAGCAGUGGGGAAUAUUGCACAAUGGGCGCAAGCCUGAUGCAGCCAUGCCGCGUGUAUGAAGAAGGCCUUCGGGUUGUAAAGUACUUUCAGCGGGGAGGAAGGCGAUGUGGUUAAUAACCGCAUCGAUUGACGUUACCCGCAGAAGAAGCACCGGCUAACUCCGUGCCAGCAGCCGCCGCAG
rnacentral:rRNA from 1 species